rnacentral:misc_RNA from 1 species
CAGUAUAACCGAGGCGCGAGGGUUGUCGCUGACUUUUUCGUCGUGCACACCCAAGUGCUCUCACACAUCCAUCUCACCCCUAUGUGCACCACCGCGUGGGUCCCCUUUUGGCUCGUUUCGAGGGGGGCUCGCGUUUUCACACAAACUUGAUGUAGUGUAGAAUGUCUUUGCGAUCACACGCAAUCAAUA